rnacentral:rRNA from 1 species
GUCCCAAGGGUAUGGCUGUUCGCCAUUUAAAGUGGUACGCGAGCUGGGUUUAGAACGUCGUGAGACAGUUCGGUCCCUAUCUGCCGUGGGCGCUGGAGAAUUGAGGGGGGCUGCUCCUAGUACGAGAGGACCGGAGUGGACGCAUCACUGGUGUUCGGGUUGUCAUGCCAAUGGCACUGCCCGGUAGCUAAAUGCGGAAGAGAUAAGUGCUGAAAGCAUCUAAGCACGAAACUUGCCCCGAGAUGAGUUCUCCCUGAGACCUUGAGUCUCCUGAAGGAACGUUGAAGACGACGACGUUGAUAGGUCGGGUGUGUAAGCGCAGCGAUGCGUUGAGCUAACCGAUACUAAUGAACCGUGAGGCUUAACCUU